rnacentral:rRNA from 1 species
UACGUAGGGGGCAAGCGUUGUCCGGAGUUACUGGGCGUAAAGCGCACGCAGGCGGUCUCUUAAGUUUGGAGUGACAGUUGGUGGCUUAACUGCCAAAGUGCUUCGAAAACUGAGAGACUUGAGGGCUUCAGAGGGACACGGAAUUCCGGGUGGAGUGGUGAAAUGCGUAGAGAUCCGGAGGAACACCAAAGGCGAAGGCAGUGUCCUGGGGAGUACCUGACGCUCAGGUGCGAAAGCCAGGGGAGCGAACGAG